GGGAUCCCCUCCAGGGCGGGAUCCUCCGUCUGGCAUCCCUCCCGAUGGCAUCACCUCCCUCUAGCAUCCCCUUCCCUGGGCACGCUCCCCUGGGGAGGGUCGAUGGGCCCCUAUUUGGAUUCAGCGCAGGAAGUCCUUUAGCAAUGGAAUUUCUUGAAUGUCAUCAAAAGAAGUCAAACCCAGAUGUGGACUGUGCCUGCUCAGUAUGUCAGAAGUGGAACCAGCUUUCUGUAGUUUCCCAUGCUGCAGUGAGAGGAGGAUUAAAAACUAAGGUAUUUGAACACCAUGAAAUUA